CAUUCAUCAGCUGACGGCAACGUUUUAACAAUCAGCUGUUGUGUUCGACCUUCUCACAAUCGUGCAUGGACGAUAAAGAAAACAACUCGAUUUGGUGUGUCAGGACAGCCAAAGUACUUGUUUGUGUGUACUGUCAUGGCGAGCUGGAAGUUGUGCGUGCUCAACUGCAACGUAGAAAUCAAAACGAGAAACAUCCAUACGAGGGCGUGUAUAGAAGUUUGUCUCAAUUGGAAGAACGCUUUGAAAUUCGCCAGCAGUUCUUGGAGGACGUCCAGUCAACAAGCUCACAAGGUGGGGAAAAUGUCAGAUUACUUCAACUUGGCCUCAGAGAAAGUGAGCAUCUUGCUGAUAAGUUGUCUCAGACUGUCUCCGAUUUGACCACCGUCCUGCAUCUGAAAGAUACUGAGCUGCAGCACUGGCAGUCACGUGUGUCCCACCACCGCCAAGAGGCUCUCACUCUGGCUAAGACAAGCAACACCCUGAAGACAACCCUCUACCAACAUGAGUACACCAUCGAGCAACAAACAAAAGAACUGGCCACCCUGCACACGGAGCAAAGCGGCCUGAAGGAGGCGCUGUCGCAGGCUUGGAACGAGAAGGAGAAUCUUCUGCGGCGGUGGAUGGAGGAGAAGAAGCAAGAGGCGGACAGGCUGAAUAAAUACAACGACGCACAGGAGAGGUGGCAACGUGUGGCCAAGCGUUUGAGAAGGCACCUGUACAAGAAUGGGAAGAAAGCCAGUGAGCCUGUCACAAGCAACUCUUAAAACCGAUGGCAAAAUGUCGAUUCAAAAGAUUGUAAUCGAUUGUUAAAUAUUAAUCAAGAAGUUCAAGUCAGACGAAUAAUUUCUAACAGGUAUUAUUAAUCGAUGACUUUGGGCGCGAUGAUGUUGGACCUCAUCAAAGUCCCUUGUGUCACCUUAUUACACACUUAUGAUGUCACACUUUAUUUUUGCAACCGUGUUUUCAGUGUUACUUUAACACUAAUGACCUUUUUUCAGGUAAUGCUUUUCUAUAACGUCAAAUUUUAGCGCGGUUAAAGUGACUGCGAAAAUAACCGUUCAUGUUAUCAAUCCCUUGGUUGGAAUGUAUCUGUAAAGAAAACAACCUUUUAAACAUUUUUAGAAUAAGUCAUAUUUGCUAAUAAAUCACUAAGCUAAAAUAAUAACUGUUUUGAUAAUUGUGGGAAUAAAGUCACUGAUUUGCUAAUUUAAUGUUCCUUUUAUUAGUGUUGUCACUGUUAAGUCCAAUCUCAGUUAAAUUUCUUAUCACUUUACAUCCUUAAUUGAAAGAAAAACGAGUGAUUAUAGUCCCCCCCCCUCUUUUGUAUUGCAGUUCUUCAUUUGAGUGGCCAACUAACAGCUCAUAUCUCAUUGGUUGUCAAAUGCACUGUUGCCAUAGUCACCAGCAGUGUUUUCACGACCUAUUAAGUCAAGCAGUGUGUGCGUCCAUGCGCCAUUUUGCUACCAAACUACUCCUUCAAACUGUGUCAGCAUGGUAAAAGGUGGCAAGCGUUAUUCAUCCGAAUCAAUGGGUAAUGACGGCAAAUGGUUUCCUCAUCCAGAUGCCCAGCCCUUCGAGGGGAGGAAUCGUGAGGUGUCCACGAGCACCGGGAGGAUGCUGACUCAGAUUCACGCACAAUUACCGCAAGCUUUUAAGUUCGAACGCUUUACCAAGACGAGAACAGACAAAUCAAUGGCAUAUCCAAGUUCCAAUCAUGACAACAAGCGAUCCGUCAAGGACAGUAUCAUUGUCUUUGAUGAUGGCGCAGGCCGUAAAAAAUGCGACGAGGGAGUCAGUCACCACAAAUCUCACUUCUGCAUGUGCCACCACGGGGUCCCGCUCACCAUGGAGAGAAAUUCGGUCUACGGGGCGGAUUUUGCAGAGCAACCCAUCGUGGAAGCCACCAGGAGCCGGCGCUUUACGCGCGACCACCAGACCAAGUGCGCGGAGUCGUCUGUGGACGGAGGAGACUUCAUGUGGUUUGGACAAGACGCUUACGACGACUACGACAGCCUGGAAGUGCUGGGAUUCGCCAAUCUCAAUGCGGGCUCCAGACCGCUGUAAACCACGGUGGUGGGCUGCACGCUAGCUACACAGGCUACUACACUAGUUUUGAGAUAGCUGCAGAAGGGUUUUGCAAGCUCAAGUUGGCUGGAACACAUUUUGACAAUCAGUGGAUGGAAAACUGCUAACGUCGGCCGAUUAACCCCCUCGGGGUGAAUUGCUUGGUUGAUAAAUACUAAUACUAAUCUAGUUUAAAUUACAUUAUCCAGCACAAUUGAUUGGGAAGGCCUUGGGCAGAUUAAAUCAACAUAGCAACACAUGAGAGCUCCUGAUUGGACAACCGUUAAUAAAGCAAAAACAAGUCUAAAAUACAUGUAUGUGUGGUUUCACACAAUUUGAUGGAACAUUUCAUGAUAAGCGUUUCAGACAAUGGUUGGAUAGAGUUUAGCGCUAUGGCCAUUCCAAAGCGGUUCAAACGCUCACCAGCAGAGGGCAGUAGCGCAAUGUCAGCUCGCCCAGAUAGACCUGCUAAGUGACUAAUUGGCUUUGUGGGAUAAGAGAAACCCAGAAAGCCAGCGAGCUCUUUCUUCAUCAAUACAAAUGAGAACAUAAGUGAGAUGAACAAAUCUAUUUCCAGAGCGGGGGACGCGUGGGAGUGAAUGGGAGAAAGGCACUUAUGGGAGGCCCAGCUCUCCCCCACCUCAAAAGCUGAUGUUUUCCCUGUAGUGCUUUCAGAGCAGCUGCUGCUUCUUAAUUCUUCAUUGGGGAGAGACUUUCAAGGAUUAAUGAGCUACAAUUUCACAGUUGCAGAGGUUGCGCUCACAUCGUCUUAAUUCGUUGAACUCGAAACGUUUGUAUUCUAAACUCGCACAACUUUUAACCGAUAGUUAUCCCGGUUGUGUUAUUUUCGAUGUUUUAUGUGUUGUAUUAUUUUGCAUCAUGUUACGUCAAGCACUUUGUUACAGCUACAGGUUUCGUAAAAAUGCAAUACAGUAAAGACAAAGAAAAUAAAGUAAAACUAAUCAUCAUUCGAAGAGCCUCAAAAUUGACCCCAAAAAAUCGAACCAAAAUGAAAUAUCUCAAAUUAAUGCAAAAAUAAUUAUUUUAGUUAUAGUUGUAUCAGAUAUGAGUAGGUUUAGUUUAAAAUGAGAUGUUAGCUAGCUACAGAUGUUUUGUUUUUAAAUCUUACCAGGUCAAAUUCUCCUUGAAAUACUCCUCAAUAAUUACAUAAAUAACUCACCUCAACACUAAAGUUAAGAAAACAUAAAACUGCUUUUAAUACAAGUUUUAUUUUUUAUCUCCGUAAUGAAACAUGUCACUUGUGUUACCCUUGACGCCAUUUCCACCGCACGUCCAAGUUAGUUCAACCUUUUCGUCGCUCCAAGUGUAUAAAACUUUAUUAGUCCAUCUUUACGAGACAUGCGGAGGCCCUGGGCAAUUUCCUGUGUUUGCCUCAUGCUAAAUCUAACCCUGUGAGUACUUUUGCCAAUCUCACAGCCUCAGCCACAUAAGUCAAACUAUUGUCAACACCUCGACGGAAGCCACAAACAUCACAAGGGAGGGUUUUUAAUACCUAACAAGGGAGGCGUAAUAGGAGAGCACAUUCCAUGAUGUACGUCAGCGCGUGCAUCAUGUCGGGAGGCAAAAUGGCAAGCUUAUGUCAACACGUUUGCUCGGUGUAAUAUCAAACCUGCUCCCAAGGACAGCAGGCAGUACGAGGUGGUAAACAAGCACGGGGAGCACCAAAGCUUUGCACCUCAUGAAUAUGAAACGAGACGAGGCUUUAAAUCAACAUGCACUCUUGCGCUCUUCAUUCUUAGCGUUGGCUGUGAUUUAUUCGCAGGUUGUGUGUGUGUGUGCGUGUGUGUGCUUUUGAUGUGUUGAGCGAGCGGAGAGAUCUUGCACCUGUUUGAGGAGGAGGGGGGAAAAAAUAGCAAGAGCUUGAUUUGCCAGUUGCAUUAUCAGCGACAAGAAAGGAAAGAGAGGCUGAGUCUAUCAAGCGUGCGUUAAAAACUGUUUCUUAGUCGGACUGAACAUUCUUGAAAAGCAAUCCGAUUUUUUUCACCAUUGCGAUCACGGUUUACGAUCCGAUUGUUUUUUCCGAGGAUGUCUUUCAAUGUCUUUUCUUAAUCAACUUAAAUAACUUCCAGGCUCAGUUUUUCGACGCAAGGUUCAUUGUGACCUUCUUCCGAUGAUAUUCCAAGUCUAAGAAUGUGAUACCCGACCGAAAAGAUAACCUCCCACUCAACAUCUUGACUGUUUCUCAUUCGUCGUUGCCGGAAAAUCUCAUCGACGUGCCACCGAAGAAUCGAAAUCGGCACUGAACGACGUGGCUAGCUCAAUUGUGUUUUUGUUUCGAACGUCCCAAUGUAGCGUGCUGCAUGUUGAUUAACAUGUAAGUGGUGGACAACAUGUAAACAAAGACCAUACAAGAUGCACUCCAUCAGCAAUGCCACCUGAGAGUGUGAAGAGGGAUGGAUGCACGUGUCUUGCAUAGAUGACGGAAAUCGGCUCGUAAAUACGAACUUCUUCGAUUCCAUUAAUUUGCUUUCAGUCUCUUAGUUUACCUCGACACCUGCAAUAGAGAAAAUGUCAGCUUACAUCAUAAGCUUAAAAGCACGACCACCCCCCCCAAAAAAAAGCAAGGUGCAGCAUUAGCCAGCAUGCAGCUCACUGCCAGUGUGCAUUGAAGUCCUUCAGAUUUAGCAGCACGCAUCAUGAUCUUACACUCUGAAGUCCAAGAGUGGCGUUGCAUUUUAAAAAGGUCAAACGCUCGCAUUUGCGCCAGGAGCAAGUGUGAGGGGAGGAGAAUUAACGGCGCUCGCUGCAGAUAUGCCUGAUAUGUUUGCACAUAGCUCAUCUACCUUUCCUUGUGUGCUCACACAGUCAGAGUAAUGACAACCAGCUAAAGAUGUGCGUUGUUUUAAUAAUUCGCUACAGACUAGUAAAAGCAAGCUUGCCAAGUCAAAUUAUAUUACAGUGUCAUUUUGCCAGGUUGACUCAAAAUGGAUGGAGUUGUACCUUUCGUAAACUGAAUACGCAGUGUUAUGGUUAAGAUUGGAUGUUGGACAUUUUUAAUGAUUCCGUCGAGUGUUUUGUCACAGGUCUUUACUUUAUUCGAGUGUAAUUUCUUUUGUGACACAACCAGUAGGGCCUUCUCUGCUCAGUCUAGCCUAAACUCCAUCAGAUCUCUAAGUUCCAUGUACAGUCUAGAUUUGUUUAUAUCCGCUCCGAUACGUAAUGUGGAUGGUCGAAAUUUUAGUCCAAUCAGAUUUCAGUUUCUAUUUGUUGCCAUGUCAUUCUAAUCUUCCCCGGGCCUUCAGAACGAGUAACGCUAACUAUUGAGAUUUAAGAUCACCAAAAAUGGUUAUCAGUGGAGUUAAAAAUAUUUUUUCUUUUAUUACCAACAUUUUAUACGAAGAAGUAUGUUUGCAGGGCUCUUAUUAAAGAAGACAAAACUGUUUUGUGUACAGUACACGAGGCUUGUGUGUUUUACUAUUGAGCGAAUGGCUCCGCCUCAUUCACAAAGCGACAUAGAAGGAGGAGGAAGGAG